GAUGAACGCUGGCGGCGUGCUUAACACAUGCAAGUCGAACGGUGAACACGGAGCUUGCUCUGUGGGAUCAGUGGCGAACGGGUGAGUAACACGUGAGCAACCUGCCCCUGACUCUGGGAUAAGCGCUGGAAACGGCGUCUAAUACUGGAUAUGUGACGUGAUCGCAUGGUCUGCGUCUGGAAAGAAUUUCGGUUGGGGAUGGGCUCGCGGCCUAUCAGCUUGUUGGUGAGGUAAUGGCUCACCAAGGCGUCGACGGGUAGCCGGCCUGAGAGGGUGACCGGCCACACUGGGACUGAGACACGGCCCAGACUCCUACGGGAGGCAGCAGUGGGGAAUAUUGCACAAUGGGCGCAAGCCUGAUGCAGCAACGCCGCGUGAGGGAUGACGGCCUUCGGGUUGUAAACCUCUUUUGGCAGGGAAGAAGCGAAAGUGACGGUACCUGCAGAAAAAGCGCCGGCUAACUACGUG
rnacentral:rRNA from 1 species